CCAUGCCAAAAAAACCCCAUCCUUCGUUGCCCCCUCCCAUCGAUCGCAUCUACCCCCGCCGCCGCCGUCCGAGGGGGAGAUGACGCCACCGCCGCCUCUACAAGGCAGGGCGGUUUGAUUCCCGCCCAUGCAGCCUCUGCAAGGAAGGGCGGUACUGCACUUCGUCGGUACCGAAGGGGCACCCUGCCGCGGCUGGGGACUCGCCGCCACUCUCCUAUCUCUCACCGCGCACCUUCCCCGACCAAGGAGCGCCCCAACCUUGCCAUGUCACUCGCGUGGCUCCCAUGGCGCCGCCUGCAUAGCUCCUUGCGCCGCCGGUCAUGACGCCCGCCUCCACCACAACUCCUCUGCCUGCGCCCCCAUGUGUCUGAGAUCCAGGUACUCAUCACUGUCGAUCCCCAGUGGGAGAGGCCCCCGCCUUCCUCUCCUCCUACGUGGUGGCCGAUGGCCGCAGUUAACGGUGCUCCUGCGAGCGGGAGACACGAGUGCGGCGCAGGCAGUGACCAAGAGUGAUGAGACAGCCCCCGGCCGCCUGGGGGCGGUUCUUUCACGUGCUGUAGACCAUGCCAUUCUGCUAUGACGAGGAUGUGUUCCGAUUACGUGGUUAAUACUAUCACAAUGCAAUAACUGGGAAGAUUACAGAGGGAAGGGACAAUAUGUAAGACGGGGCAAGGAGGCUGGCUUCUCAUGACGACUUCAUAUAUGAUGCAACACUUAAGAGCUACUACAAAGCUUUUUUUAGGAAGCUACUACAAAACUUUUUUUUCAGAAGCUACUACAAAGCUUUUGUUCAGUGACGCCUUAUUCUGUCGUACUCAUGCUCAUCACUGGUCGCCUCUCUAUCUCUGGCCGGACUCCAUUGUCGGCUCCGCCUCUGCCUCGAUCCCAUGCACCAUGGCUGCCCAGAUGGCCAGCCAACGGACACAGGCGACUGCCACGCUAGUGGGAUAAGAGUACCAUAUCCCGAACAAUGGGGUGGUCCAACUUUUAAUACUGGCGAAGCUUUUGCAAUGAUGGCUGAAUCAUUUGUUGCUCUGGUGGAGGUUCAAUUAAACCGAUGUAAAAAAAAUGCCAGAUUCUUUUGUCAGAUAAAAACAUGACUGUGUAUUUUGCUUGUCAGGACCAAGAUCUCUAGCUAUCAAUGAAAUUUCCAUAGUAGUUUUUGUUGCCUCUGUGUAACCCUGAUAGUAGCUUCUUGGAAGGUUCAGAUGUGUGGCAAAGGAUUUCAAUUUUCCUGUUUACACAAAGGCAGCCCGUGGAAGGUUCAGAUUUCUCAUGCUAGGAUUUGUGCUCUCAGGGUUACAUAGACAAAAGUGCCUCCUACUUAGUACUUACUCAAAGGCAACCUGAGAAAGCAAAUACCAUGACAAGAGCUUGAAGAUUUCAAAGAUACAAAGGGUUAGCAGAAAGAGGAUACACUGAUUUCAUCUGCUGCACUUAAGAGUCGAGUCUCUCCGUAACAGAUGGUCAGAUUUUGAAGGCUCUGUACUCGAAAUCAUAAGGGAAUUUCUUGUUGUUGCAUCCAGGUGCUGGAAUUCCUCGUAGUGGAGUGAAAACAAUUGUCUCUACGCAUGCAACAGCAAGGUGGGAAGUUGUAAUUAUUGUAGGACUUAUUUUCUGAAAGUUGAAGGGAGGUACUACGCAAGUUACAGGCUUUCAAUUCAGCAUGAAACCAAGACACGUGAUAUAUUGGUAAAACAGUUAGGGUGUGAUGAUUCAUGAACAAAAGAUUCAGAAAAUUUGUUGAAUCAUUUAAGGAGCAAGAACAACAAGUAUGUGCUGAAAAAUUAUUUCCCAUGGUUUCUUCACUCUUGGUUAAGGGAUUCUGGCACAUUCCCAAAGUAGCAACUUGUCAAGGGUUCGGGUCGGAACAAAAUUCAAUAUAUGCUGAUGUAUGGAAGAAAAGCAUAUGAAGUUACAAAAGUGGAUUAUUCUCUAUCGUGAACAAAACAUUAUUUGCUUCCCCAACUCUGAUUAAAUCAUCGGUGCAUGGAUUCACUUAACUCACUUGGAUUAUCUGUAGUUGACCCUCCAUUUAGCCAUAGAAAACUUGUUAAUUAUAAAAUAUUUACUUCCUUUUAAAGCAAUUAAUGUAUAGUUGUUCUUACUAUAUUAUCCUCUAUUUUUCUCAGUAUUUCAGAGAGUGUCAUGUGAGUUCAACAUUACUUGUCUAGAGGUAAUUGUCAAAAUUAGCCUCCCGAGUUUGCUUGUGUCGCUCAUGGUAUUUGUUGAAGUAUAAAAGGUGUUGAUUUUACUGAUUACAAUACGAAAACUAACAAAAUGAUGAUUCAGUUGAAGUUUUUGUGUCCUAUGGAAUUAAUUGUCUAUAUCUCUGUAUAAUUUUAUACUAUAAAUUUUGGCACUCCAAUUUAAAAAGUGAAGCACUUCACAAUUAUGUGUGAUGUUUCAAGCAGAAUUGAGAUUAGCGAAUAUUUUUCUGCAAAAGAAAAGCAUGCAUGACUUGGAAACUAUGAGAUUUCUUAUCAGAAUUACUGCCAGAUCUACGGAUAUUUUUCCUAAAGAGCAAAACCAUAGUUGAUUUACUGAAUUCAAAUAACGGCAUGCAAGUGUGGUUCUAUAUCAAAUAGCUUUUGCAUUUGACAAAAGCAGAAUAAAUGGGAUUCUUAC